GAAAUGCGAUAAGUAAUGUGAAUUGCAGAAUUCCGUGAAUCAUCGAAUCUUUGAACGCACAUUGCGCCCUCUGGUAUUCCGGGGGGGCAUGCCUGUCCGAGCGUCAUUGCGAACCCCUCAAGCACGGCUUGUGUGAUGGGCCCUCCCGCGUCUUGGUCGUCAAGACGGGCCCGAAAUGCAGUGGCGGCUUCGCGGUUAUCCGAUCAGCCAGGGCGUAUGGGGACUCUCUCUCUUGUCACACGCCCGCGGCGCGGACCGACGCCUGUCGACCUUUAUUCAUCUUCUCUCGGUUGACCUCGGAUCAGGUAGGGAUACCCGCUGAACUUAAGU
rnacentral:misc_RNA from 1 species